CUGCCCUAGUAGGGAUACUAUUAUCCACAUCCUACGCAUAUUUUAUCUGUUGCUUUCUAACAAUUUGAUUUUCGUUUGUUAUGUAGAUACAAAUUGUUGAUAUCCAUGAUUGUGACAUAUAAGGAGAAUCUUCAAGGAUUAGACAUUGUCUUGCUGUCUUUGAAAGAUACAGAAUUACAUGGGACUCUGAUUGUAAUCAUCUGUUAAAAAGACAUGUCAAGGGAAUCAGCUUUCUCCAAGAAAGGUGUAGCUUCACACAGCUUUUGCCCAUUUAAAAUGAGAUUACUGGGAUUUUCUCUACCUUGUCACUUCAACAAUGUCACAUUUGAUACUUCUGUCUGCUGGCUUCCACACCUCCACUGGAUCAGGAGUAUCUUCACUUUGAAACAAAUCAUGUGUUAUUCCCAAACUAGCUAAUGUUUAUUUCUUGAACUUUCACUAUUUGGAAUUAUCCUCUGUUGCUGCUCCUUCUAUCACUUUGUUUGAAUCACCUUUGGCACUCUUCAAGGAGAUCUUGAAAUGUAAGUACUAAGAAGAUACAAAAGUUAACAUCAUAAAAACUACUGGUAAGCUAGCAAACAAACAAACAUGUAAACUAAUAAAUAGUGUUUUUCCACCUCUUGGAAAAGUAACAGUGUGCUAUUCAAAAGUCUUACAUUGAAGCUGUGAUGUCAAGAGAAGCAAUAUAAUUGAAAUCAAGAAAUGCACCUAAAAGGAAUGGAAGGAACUGACACCUUUCCAAUUCUAUCUUAAAAAAAAAAAAAAAAAAAAAAAAAAAAAAAAAGCGCUCAGGAAACCUUAUCCACCAUCUAUCCCACCUGUUUAUGAAUAUUUUAUGAAUAUUUGCAAUUGAAAUAAUGAAGCUGAAUUUGAAAAACACAUUUUUUGAAGAGAUUAGAUAGCUAAAAAAAUAGAAAACGAAUGAAACUUCUCAAUGACAAAAACAUAAAUGAAAUAAGAUGGAGGUGUGAUAAUGUCAGUUUUCAAACUCUAUUUCACUUAUAUCCUAUGACUCAUACAAACGUGUGUGAAGAUUCCUUAGUACCUCCACUAAAAUCACACAUAGCAUUCUCAGCUUCUACAGGGCCAUUAGAAAUAUUGGAGUUUCACCAUUCAUUCAAUAAGGUCAAAGAUUGCCCUAAGGAAAGUUAUGUAGACUUCUGAUCAAUUUGUAAAACUAUUUUUUUCAGAGGAAUGGGGACAGUUUUCAGAAUUGGGGCCACUGAUCAUAAAACUUUCAUUAAGUUGUGAAGUAUGAAACAAUCAUCUCUUCCUAUAAUAACAGGAAAUUAUUUUUCAUUCCAUUGCACAGAAUAAGCUUCUAAAAACAAGCAAGCAGCUCAAACAAAAAUUACUUGGCAGCAAGUGGGUUUUUUUUCCUCAGAUUUUCUGCAGAUGGUGAACAGAGAACAGCAUGGAUUGUCAACCAACAUGAACAUUCUUAGUCUUGAGGAUUUGAUGGAAUGUAUAAAUAACUACAGCAAGACCUAGCACCCAUUCACUUUGAACAGAAAUUACCAAAUUCAAAAGCAUCUAGGAGCUUCUGAAUGUCCAUAGGAACAAUGAUAAACUGUCACUAUAUAUCAAGGUACAUACUGUAAAAUAGGAAAUAAAUUCUACUGAUCCAACUUCUAUUAGUAUUUGCUUCAUGAUUCAAUGUAAUUAUGAUAUUAGAUUAAAAAAAUAAUGAUUCCCUUUGCACGUAGUAAUUCAAUUGUUUCUACUACUCAGUGGGGAAUAAAAAAAUACUUUUACUGUCAUAUAACUGUGUCAUUUGCCAGAACACAUUCAAAACACAGGUGAG
ensembl:lncRNA